UCAGACAUGGUGUUGUGGUGACACAGCCUCUUCAGAUUGUAGAUAUGUUUAUGUCAAGUAGAUUGGGGGCAGUCCGGGGUUCAAUUCCCUGUGUCUGAA